ensembl:lncRNA
GGGACUUGGUUCGACACACCGCCUGAGUGUUUCCCUGCUGGAUUGAUUACUUGUCGAUCAUCUCCAUGGUGAUCACAUCAUCAUCAUCAUCCGUGGAGGACAAGCCCGUGCCCUCUCUCAGGAUGGUCCAAACAGAACCCUGGAUUGCCUCUGCCCUGCUGCGCAAGAACAAGAGUGUAAGCAGCUCAGGAUGUCCGCCCACCUCCUCCUCCUCCUCAUCCUCCUCCUCCUCCUCCACUGCCCAGGGCUUCUCCCUCGCUGAGCCAGCCAUGACCAGCCAGCACACGCAUACACACCCCUCCUUCAGCUCCAUCCACUCCAUGGCCGAGCAGCAGCAGGU